CAACUCGCCUGCAUGAAGUCGGAAUUGCUAGUAAUCGUAGGUCAGCAUACUACGGUGAAUACGUUCCCGGGCCUUGUACACACCGCCCGUCAAACCAUGAGAGCCGGUAAUACCCGAAGUCAGUAGUCCAACCUCGUGAGGACGCUGCCGAAGGUAGGAUUGGCGACUGGGGUGAAGUCGUAACAAGGUACC
rnacentral:rRNA from 1 species